rnacentral:lncRNA from 1 species
AACUGCCCAUAACCUCACGAGUCUAUAUAUUUAUUUUGUUUUAAAAUCCGAGUCCAAAUCGACUCUCAAAACUCAAAUUCUCAUAUUUCAAAGCAUAGAUAAAGUUUAUCAAAAUUUCACUUUGAUUCUCAUAAUUUUGAUGUUAAAUCUCCUAUAUAAACAUGUAAGAUAGUUGGAAAUUGAUUAAAAUUACUUACCCAAUGAUUGUAUAUAAAAAUCCCUCUUCAAAAUCGUCUCCUGUCGAGUCUAGGGUUCAAAAAUAUGAAAAUGAGACUAAAAUCCCGUCCCUCGGCUUUUAUGUCCAGUCGCAGGUGUUGCAAAUGUGACAUUUGGGAACCCCGAAAAUGCAAGGAAAUGAUCACAAAAGAAAAGACCCUCACACCCAUGUUGUCGUCGCUAAUGCGAACUUUGAACAUUUCACAAAAGUGACCAUUUGGUCGCAAAAGCGAUCCCUCCCCAGCCCACGCCAUUAUCCUAAAUGCGAUUGGGAGUUCGAAAAUACAAACUCUUCAGGACACAUUGUAUUUCGCAAAAGAGAAGGAGAACCCACAAAUGUGAGUGAUGAAAAUGUGACAUAUUUCUCGUAAAUGCGAGAUCAGAAACACCAGAAAAAUUUGAACCUUCUAUGAACUCUCUGGAACGCGUCUGAAACUCACCCGAUCCCUCGGGGCUCCAAACCAAACAUCAAUAUAAGUCUAAAAAUAUAACAUGAACUAGCUCGCAUGAUCAAACCAUCAAAAUAACAUUUGAACCCAUGAAUCGGACCUCCUACACACAUGAAAUCUACAAUGAAACUCAAGAACUUCUAAAAAUGCAACCGCACGUCCGAUUCCUAUCAAAUCAACUCGCAAUGACGUCAAACUUUGCGGACAGGUUCCAAGUGACAAAACGGACCUAUUCCAAGUUCCAAAUAUAAAUCCAAACAUGAUAUCUAUGAAGUCAACCUACGGUAAAACUUCUAAACCUCAAGCUGCCAAUUUUCGACAAAAUAACACAAAUCAACCUACGGACCUCUAAAUUUGAUUUUGGGAAUACUCCCAAAUCUAAAAUCAUGAUAAGAACCUAUAGGAGCCAUCAAAAUACUAUUCUGGGGUUAUUUUCAUAAAAUUCAAACCUCGGUCAACAUAUUCAACUUCUAAAGUGAGAAUCACUUAUCCAAAUAUAUUCCGAAACAUCCAAAAAUCAAAUCUGACUAUGCACACAAGUCAUAAUACACAAUAUGAAACUACUCAAGACUUCAAUACACUUAAUGGAACCUUAAAGCUCAAAACGACCGAUCGGGUCGUUACAUGCUCGGAGUAGAUUCUGGAUUGCUUGAUGCCUUAUUGAAUUGUGUAUUCUUUUUGACUUAUGCUUCACUUGAUUCCUAUGAUAACAUGAGCACAAAUAUCUAUACUAGAGAUCAUAUAUUAAUUUAUGAUAUCCUAAUUAAACAUGAUGGACUAUUCUUAAGGUUGUUAACUUACUCGAUUUGGUUGAGGUCAUACUUUAUAUCAUGAAUAUAUAUAUAUAUAUAUAUAUAUAUAUAUAUAUAUAUAUAUAUAUAUAUCCAUUAUUCUUGUGAUACUUGAGUUUCCAUAUUAUUGCUAAAGAGCAUGCUUAUGUUUUGUUGAGAUACUUGAACAUUAUGGUUCUUAAAAUAUUGGCUUGUCUAUUGAUGCAAAAGUUAGGAUUAUCUCUCACAUAGAGUAUUAGUCUUAAUCACUCUUCUUAAUGUUAUCUAUGCUUUUUACCUUGCAUGUUACCAUUUUAUAUAUGCUUGGUGAGGAAGAGUAUAUUGCAUGAAGGGUAUUUUCAUGCUUGUGAGGAAGACUGAUUUAUGCAUGAAGGGUAUUUUCAUACUUCUUGACAUUAUUAUUAUUGCACGAAGAAUGUUUUCGUUCUUGGUGAGGAAGAGUGAUAUGAUAUUGGCACGAAUGAUGUUUCCGUGCAAGUGAGGAUGAGAGUUCAUGGCAUGAAGGGUAUUUUUGUGCAGGCGAGGAUGAGAUAGAUGCAUUAUAUUGUGUUAUCCUUCCCAACACAUAUACAUUUAUGUCUUUUACCUGGGUUGUUAUUUGCAUCUAUGCUUUCUAUCUUGUUUGUUGUUGUUACAUCUAUGCCUUAUAUAUUGCUUGUUAAUGUUAUCUAUAUGCCUUUUAUCUUGUUUAUUACUGUUAUCUAUAUGCCUUCUAUCUUGUUUAUUACUGUUAUUCAUGUGCCCUCUGCCUUGUUUGUUAUUGCCAUCUACAUGCCUUUUGCUUUGUUUGUUACUAUUAUCUACAUGUGUUGUUCCUUGUUUAUUGUUGUUACAUCUAUGUCUUCUACCUUGGUUGUUGUCCCUACUUCCAUUCCUUCUACCUUAUUCUUUCUACUAGUUAUAUGUCUUUUACCUGGUUUGUUAUUGUUAUACAUAUGUUUGGCGAGGAUGAGAUAAAUGCACGAAGGAUGUUGCCAUGUCAUUUGAUGUGACACACAUAAAUGCUUGGUGAGGAUGAGAUAAAUGCACGAAGGUUGUUGCCAUGCCAUUUUAUUUGAUAUCUUGUACAUAUUUCUUUUAUUAUAUAAAUUUGUGGAUAUGGCUUAUGUUGCUUUACGGAUAUCAUUUCUUCCUCAUAGACUUGCUUGAUUGAGAAAGGUUUGGUUGUUAUAUUUGUGAAACAUGCUUGUUAUUUCUCUUAUAUGAUCCUUUAACUAUUACUUGUCUUUUCCCUUGUUAUUUCUCUUGCUUAUGAAUUGCACAGGCUAUAUUAGUGAGUAUCUUUUGACUUAAAAACCUCACCACUACUUUACUGAGAUUAGUCAAGAUACUUACUGAGUACAUAGGGUCGAUUGUACUCAUACUACAUUUUUGCACCUUGUGUACAGAUAUUUAGAACUAAGCGAUUGCGGAGUUCGAGGUCGGGCAUUGAAGACUAAUGCGUUCCAGCCAUCUACUAUCAUUUGUUCAUGGUAGAAUAUGACUUAUAUUUCUAUUUGUGUAAAUUUCAAAUAGACGAUGUAACUUUCUGCAUAUCAUAGUUGUAUUCUUAUUCUUAGUCGCUCAUGGCUUAUAUUACCAUUCCAUGGAAUAGUUGUAUUACUUUUUGUAUUCUUAUAUUAUUUAUUAAUUUGAUAAUUUCCAAUUUGGGUAGAGGUAUAUAUUAGUUGGCUUACCUAGUAUGUUGGGUUAGGUGCCAUCACGACUUGGUGGGAUUUUGGGUCAUGACAUAUACUAUAUACCAAAAUAAUAUACUAUAUAAUAUUUUGGUAUAUCAAAACUAAUUCAAUAGUAUACAAUUAAUUGCAAUAGUAUACUAUUACAGUAUAUAGUAUAAUACAUCAGUACACUAUUAAACGAAGAACACAAGAUACAAUUUUGAUAUAAUAUAUGUCAUUUUGGUAUAUAAUGUAUAAAUCAAUAGUAUACAGUUUAUACAACAGUAUAUUGUUAUAAUAUAGAAUAUAAUGUAACAUUAUACUAUUAUAGUUGGGUCCUUUUAUAUUAUUUUUUUCAACUAGGUCCUUUUUAAAAUUUUCGACGAAGUUCUUAUGCUUUUUCAAAUAUUUUCUUAAAUGAAGUAUUUAAUGGAGUUCCAUGGGGGUAUCAUUCACUGUAUUAUAAGUAAGAGUAGGAAAAAACAUAAAAUAGUAAUAUACAUAUUUGAUGUAUUAUAUACCAUGCUAGUAUACUACUGUAACGACCAAACCAGUCGUUUUUGGCAUUUGCAUUCCAUUCAACUAUUUGAAGUCUUGAGCAGGAUCGUAUGAUGUAUUAUGACUUGUGUGAAUCGCCGGUUUUGGUUUUCAGGUUAUUCAGAAUUAAUUUGGUAGAAUGAUUCUUAACUAAGAAGCUUUAAGUUGGAAGAGUUGACCAAGUUUGACUUUUGAGUAUUUGAUCCCGGAUCGGAGUUUUAAUGGUUUCGUUAGGUCCGGAUGGUAAUUUUGGACUCGAACGUAUACCUGGAUUCACAUUUGGAUAUUUCUAGAAGGUUUCGGCACUAAUUGGCGAAAGUUAGAAAUUUGAAGAUUUGGAAUGUUUAUAAGUUUGACCGGGAGUUGACUUUGAUGAUAUCAGGUUCGGAUUGUGGUUCCGGAAAUUAGAAUAGCUUUGUUAUGUUAUUUGGGACUUGUGUGCGAAAUUUGAGUUCAUUACGAGUUGAUUUGAUAAGGUUCGGCACGAGUUUUGGAAGGUGAAAGAUUCAAAGUUCAUUAAGUUCGAUUUGAGAUGCGAUUCGUGGUUUUGAUGUUGUUAUGCGUGAUUUGAGGCCUCGAGUAAGUCCGUGUUAUGUUAUGUGACUUGUUGGUAUGUUCGUAUGAGGGUUCCAAGGGGCUCGAAUGAGUUUCGGAUAGGUUUGGGUUGUGUUGCGCUCGUUUUUGAUGUUUCAGCGUCGUUUCUUCAAGCAUAGAUGGUACCACAUUAGCAAAUGAGCUCCAAUUUCUGUUUUGAUUGAAUAUUUAUAUCUGUAUUGUAGUUUUGGAACCAUAGCAACCAGAAUCAUCAAGUUUCGACAUCGUAUGAGGAAUUUAUGGUCAUUUUACUAAGAAUUGGGUUGCUAGCUUUUUUAAAAUUAAUUAUGAAAUUGCCACUGAAUUCGUAUUAAAAAGUCUGCACUAUUUCCAAAUAUUGAAACAAGCAUAUCUCCUUCAAUAUAAGGUCAAAUGGAGUAAUUCAAGAGCCUAACUUGACUAGUAUUUCACAAAGAAUCCAAUGGAGGCAUUAAAAAUAAGUUUCGAGAUCAUCUGGCACAAGAAACAAGGCAGAACGAUAUUAAAUUAAGGUUUUAGUUUUUUUAUCAUAUUUUGAGAUUUGGGGCUCAGAUUGAGAUGAUUCUGUAAGCAAUUUUUAUCACACAGAUUGGGGUAAGUAUUCUACACUCGGUUUUGGUUAUAUUUCGUGAAUCUAUCUUUAUUUUGGCAAUUGGUUGAUGAAAUUUAAAGAGGAAAUUGAGGAUUUUUGUCUAAAAUUUCAUAAAGUAAAUUUUCGAGUUUUGAACACCGAUUUGGAGUAGGAAUUGAAUGAAACUAGUAUUGGACUCGUAAUUGAAUGGGUUGUCGAAUUUUAUAAGUUUCAUCGGGUUCUGAGGCGCAAGCUCGGGUUUGACUUUUUGGCCGAUUUUGGGCUUUUGAGUAAAGAUUCGACGUUUAUCAAUUGAAAUUAUUUCCUUAGGCAUUAUUUGAUGUUCUUGAGUUGCUUUUGGAUAGUUUCGAGCCGUUUGGAGGUUGGUACAUGCGGGACGGCAUUUUUGGAGUAUCGUUUGGCUUGCUCGGUAUUGGAUUCGGCUUGUUCGAGGUUAGUAACACUUCUAAACUUGGUGCUGAGGGUAUGAAACCCCGAAUUACGUGUUAUGUGUUUGGUGUUGGGGUGACGCACAUGCUAAGUGACAGGCGUGUGGGCGUGCACCAUGUGAACUGUGACUCCAUUAUUUCUGUGGUACUGUGUAGUUGCCUGAUCUUAUCUGUAACCAUGUAAUCUCUACGUACUAGAGCUAUUGAGCUGUGAUCCAUGUUAGAAAUUAUGUCUAGGCUACAUGCUUAUUCUGUUGGGACCCACUGAGAUCAUUUCUGCUGUUGAGUUAUUUGCUUACAUUGCAAUUGCAUACUCAGUCGUACGCAUUCAUAUGCAUAUCAUAUCUUAGUCUCUGUUACCAUUUAUUGAUACAUCACAUCAUUAUUUUUGGGCUAAUUUUAUGACAUUGUGAGCCCGAGAGACUGAAGAUAUUGAUGACUGAGCGAGGUCGGGGGCCUGAUUGUGAGGAUAUUAAUUUAUGAUGGGAGCGGGCUACACGCCGCAUUAGAUGUUAUUGAUUUACGCCAUGAUUGUCUUAUUAUAGUGCUUGGGCUGAAGGAGCCCCUCCGGAGUCUGUACACACCCCCAGUGAGCGCAGGUACCUACUGAGUGCGAGUGCCGAGAGCAAGUGCCGAGUGAUUGGAAGGACUGAGUGACUUUGAGGACUGAGUGACUGCGAGAAUUGAGUGACUGGGAGGACUGAGUGACUAGGAGGACUGAGUGAAUUGAUACUCUGAGAGUAUGGAUAUGAUUUUAUCACUGAGCUGCAUCGCAUUCGACAUGCACACUUGACAUACAUGCAUAUAGAUGCGUUUUCCUCAUGUUGUACGGUAUCAUGUCAUUCAUGACUUUUCAUACACAUUGACAUGUAGGCGUAGAGAUGUAUUUUCCUCAUGCCAUUUGAUAAUAAAACAUCUUUUUGUUGUUGAAACGGUUUGGAAAAAAUCACAAUUUUACAAACCUACUCAUAUUUUGGUGAUUUCGGUAAAAAGAAAUUGGGUUUUCACUGAUAUACUUGAAAAAUAUGCCUAUUUUUUCGGAACUGUGAACGAACUGAGCAUCUUAUAUCUGAGUAUUUUUCUUGUACCAUUCUUAUUAUUUUGUUAUGAACUGUUGUUGGCUAUUGGUGUUGGACUCCGACCUUUGUUCCAGCUCGUCACUACUUUCAACCUAAGUUUAGGCUUGUUACUUAUUGAGUACAGGGGGUCGGUUGUACUCAUACUACACUUUUACACCUUGCGUGCAGAUUUGGAUGCUGACGUUGCUUUGCAUGAUGGGAGCUAGCAUUGAAGACGUACCUGCAUUUCGGUUAUAGCUGCCUCUUGUUCAUGGUAACUCUAGACUUAUGAAAAAUCUAUUUAUGUAUUAUUCGGACAGAUGAGGUAUUUAUUCAAUACUAGCUUUGUAAACUCUAAAUCUUAGAAGCUCAUGAUUUGUACUACCAGUACUUGAGAAAUUUUUGUAUAAAAGCAAUUAUAUUAUAAUUUCUUUUCUUGAUAAAUCUCAUUAAUUUGGAUAGUUGUUAAUUGGCUUACCUAGCGGGUUGGGUUAGAUGCCAUCACGAUUGUGAGCACUUAAUUUUUUACUAUAUUUAAAUUUUUCAUCACUUUUUAGUAUGUAAAUAUGUGCAAAGUUUAAUCUUGAUUUUUAGCCUUUAUUUCACUUUUUAGUAGAUUUAUUUAAUAAAAUUAAAAACUACAAAAAGAGUUACAUUUUUAAGAGUAUUAGUUUUAUUUUCAUUCACAAAGAAAGAAAAGUUUCCAAAAAUAUAGUUUAAUACAAUUUUUAAGUUAGAGGUUUGAGUGUAGUAAUUUUACUUGCUUUAUUUACUUAUUUAAUAGGAGUAGAUUAUUUUGCUUAUUUAUUAUCAAGAAAGAAAAUACUAAAAAAAAAACAACAAUUAUAAUUGAUCACUUGUAAAAGAUUCUUCCUAACAAAUUCCCACUUUUCUCGGUAGCUUCUCACAUAACCUACUAUCAAUCUCUCUCAUUCACGUUUUAUUCCAUAAAAGUUUACACAUGUGCACUGAGUUUCUGAUUUUCAUUUUUUUUUUUACUUUUUACAUAUGAUUCAUCCUCAUCCCACAAUCACAGCUCUCUCACGGGAGGAUAGGGAAAAAUACAUAACACCUGUAUCUUGCUCUCCAAGAUUUUUUGGGGUCAUUCUUAUCCAUAUACACACAUACACAUCAGACACACACCAGGGAUCCUUCCUACUCAUUUUCCUCUCCGUUACCAAUAUAUAAGCACACACCCAGUUCAUUAUAGGGGGGACGAGAGAAAACGAGAGAGAAAGGGGGCGCAUUAUGAGUAAAAAUUGUCAGUAGCAGCCAAGACUCUCCUUUCUUCUCCAACUUAGCGUGGCCAUGAAAACUAGUAAAAACCUCCCAUAACUCCAGCAUCUAUCUUCCAUGAAAACACCAAUUCCCACCAUGAAACUCCAUAGAGCUGACCAUCACUGUCCACCCCCAAACUCCGGUUGAAAAACAGCUUCAAACACAACUAGAUCUCUAGCAAAACAACCCCCCAAAACCAGCCACUAAAUAGCCACAAAACAAUUCGUUUGAGUUUAAGUUCGAGACUUCCUUGUUCGAGGUUGUCGUCGUCAAAUUUUCCUGUCAGUUGAGUCUUCCGUUGGUUCCCAGGCGAGGUUUCGUCAUUGGCAAGGUCCCCGAUCUGAGAUCAGUGAGGGUUCCCGGCGAGGUUCUUUUUGGCUUCGAGUCAGAGUUUCCCUCUUUUCUGCUUUUGGAUAAUCGACAUGAUUUUCUGUACGUUGGCUUGGAGUUUUCUGCUAAUAUAAGGUCCCCUUUCUCUUCUUUAACAUGCUUCUUAGUUCCAUGAUAUUUGCUACAGUUUUAUUUGCCGAAUGAAAGUUAGAUGAUAUUCUUGCUAAAACUUGAUUACUAUAGUAUGUCUAAGUCACGUAUCUAUCUAAGAAUUUUCAUGGGUUAGAUGUAUAUUUUUAGUUUUUAUGAGUUUGAAAGUCAUGUGUAGAAGUAGGAAGGGCUAUUUCCUUUGUUAAAAUUGAAAUAAAGUAAUCUGAAAUUUGUUAAAGAGAAGUAGAUUUGUGUCUGCUAACAGAGGUUGAAAUAAGGUGUGGGUUUAGUGAAAAUGACAGCCGUUGGGAUAAUUUUGAACUUAAAAGGAUCUGGGCUAAAAUUCAUGAGUCCAAAACGUUCUUCUCCAUUUUUUGUGUUGCAUAUUUCCAAAUAACCGAAUCAUACCAUUUCUUCCCACAAUAAUUUUCAUAACUCUUAGAACUGUCGCAAAUAAUCUCAAACUUAGGAAACUAAUCAAUUUACAAACACUCGUAAGAUGCUUUAGGCGCGUUCUAAUCUAUUAUCGUAUUUGUGUACACGUUCGUGUGACAUAAUUAUGAUUCCAAAAAAUAAAAAAAGGUACGCGUUCGCGUGACUUUAGCUAAAAACAAUCUUCAUAAUUAAUAAAGCGUGAUUAAUUGUGUAGACGUACGCGUGACAUGAUUUUAGCGCACUAAAUAAAGCGGAUUCACACACAUGUGGUUCCGUUUCACAGAUUAAAUCCAUUACGCCAUAAUUAAAAGCGGUAAAAAGGUAAAUGUACAUAGGUUCUAAAAUAAGUAAUUAAACAAAUUAAUUAAGCUAGGUAUGAUUAAAGCGACCGUGCUAAAACCACGGAAUCCGAGAAUGCCUAACACCUUCUCCUAGGUUAACAGAAUUCCUUACCCGGUCUUCUGAUUUUCGCAGACUUUAAACAUAGUCAAAUUUCCUCGAUUUGGAAUUUUAAAAUAAAUCAGUGACUUGAGACACCAUAAUAAUUAUUUCAAGUGGCGACUCUAAUUAAUUAAAUAAUCUCAUUUCGAAUAAUGUCACUUUAAUUGGAAAAACUCCCUAUCCCCUCGGAAAAAAGGAGGUGUGACAACGACUAGUUGGAUUUUGGGUCAUGACAAGUUGAUAUCAGAGCUCUAGGUUUGUAAGUUCUAUAAGUCAUGAGCAAGUGUCUAGUAGAGUCUUGAGGAUCGGUAUGAUGACGUCCACACCUAUCUUCGAGAGGCUACAGGGCAUUUAGGAUAAAUUUUUCAUCUUUCUUUCCUUAUCGUACGGCAUUGAUUCAGCUUGAAGCGUAACUCUUUGAAUUCCUUCCAUGCACUCGUAUGCGCAUGUGAGCGCUCGGUAUCAGCUGUGCAUCAACGGCUUGUGAUUUCAUGGAUGAGGUACGAGAGGUAAUUUUGGUGUGCUGGUGAUGGGCCAGUAUGGAGGACUUGAGGCCGGGUUUUGACUGUAGCUUGAGCACGGGGAUUUCGGUUGUGUGAGCAUGUGCUUUUGAACUUAUAAGUCUGGUAGUGUCCCUAUUAGUGAAAUUUGUGGCUCGAUGAGUGGUUGGAUGGCUAAAUGAUGAGUAUGAUAUGACUGCGGGAUGUGUUAAGAUGAAUUAAAUGUGACGAGAAGAGUUUGCUUGAGAUAUAAAAAGGACUAUUGGGUGCUUGAUUUCUGUCUUGAUGUGACGUAUAGUCUCGAGUUAUGAGUGUAUUCGAGGAUCUUUCAUGUUAUUUAAAUGUGGAAUGAAUUAGGUUCUCAUGCCUUGUUGGUGAGUUCAGACUCAGGAAGAUUAAGUGAUUGCAUAGUAGUUGUGCCUGUGAAAGGGUAUAAAGAGAUGUCAGUUUGAGGCUAAGCAGGUGGGUUGUAACCUACGAGAUAAUCUACGGAUGUGUGAUUUUUAUGAUGUUGUGUGGAGGCUUGUUUUUCUGACAAUGGGUUAUAUUUGUGCGAUUUGAGUUUGGAUGAGUUGUAAUAGUUGACCUGACCGUCACGAGGAUGAAUGCAAGAUUUGCAGAUGAUUUGAGGUAUUAGAUGGAUUUUGUUAUAUGAGCUUAUAAAGGAUUUAGUUGAAUCUCACUGCGGUAUUAUGGAAGUAAUGAGGUAUGGUUAUUGUAAGUUAUCAGAUGUUUUAUUCCAUGGAUUUGAGCUAAGUGGGGGAGUCUUCUAUUCGACUGGUUGAUUGCAUAAUUAUGUAUUGUAUUGGUUUCGGUUUGAGGUAUACUUGUGAAUCGGUUAUGACUUGCAGAGGUUGAGAUCGAGGAUGACUCGAGAAAGGGAACUUCUGGAUACGGGUUGUAUUACACUCUAUGGGUAUAUGGAAAUCAUGGAAUGAUUUGAGUUGUUAUUCGUGACGGAUGUAGUGCGCAUGGUAUAGGUAUUUGCUCGGUUGCAUUAAGGCGAGGUUACUUCAUUGGGUGUUGUCGUGCUAAUGGGGCACAAGUCGUUCGGCCCGUUUGGGCGGUGCAAUUGAGAUUUGAGUAGAGUGAAUGACUCUCGAGGAGGUCCUAAUAGAUUCAAGAUUAUAUGCAGUAAUUGAGAAUUUUUUGGAUUUGUAUAUGGUUAAGAUCUGAGAUUCACAUUGGAUGGAGCCAGGACUUGCGGUAUUUCUGUAUCACUAUGGAUUCUGCAUUUCAGUAUCAGGAAUGUGAAGUUAACGGCUUUAGGUUCACAAAAGGUCUUUUCAGAUUGGGUGUCUCGGUUUUGGUACUUUUGGGGUGCUUAAGAAGGAAUACAACUGCUUAUGGCCUUUAGACCGUGUGGUUUUAUGUUAGGAACUCUUGUGGUGAGGUUUGGGUAAGGAUCGUGAUGUUCUAGCAAGGAGAAGUGUCACCUUGAGGGUAAUUCAGAAGGAACUCGGAGAAAUGGGACAACUUGGUAGUAGGUUGGAUCAGCACGACAAUGGAUACGAUCGGUUCUUUGGGUACUUAUGAUGUGGUGAGUGUCUACAGGUGUUUGUGGCAAUACUGGUUUGGCGACCUGCAUAGCUUGGUUGAAUGAGGGAGGUUCAGUUCUGGUGGCUUCGUUAUGUGCAAAUGGGUUCCAAGGAGUUCUCGAUGGUUUUUACCACGGUUUGAGAUGGAUAUUUUCUACCGGAGUGAGGAGCAUGUUGUGUAUUGUGAUUUUCUCCUGGAUGGGAUCAAAUAGAAGGUUUUCGAAUGACCGGGAAUGUAUUUUUCUUGUGACUCAGAGUUGAUUAUGAGAUUCUCGUACUUUUCAUAUGAUGGCAUGAUAGAUGCGGUGUGUUGUGUGGGAUUGAGAUUUGCAUGUGCAAGGUCACAGUUAAGUUUUGAAGGGAAGGUCAUGAAUUCUUAGGUAACAUGGACGGUUUCAAAUGACUAGAUGAAUAAUAUUACUACUUGGAAUUGCCUGAGCAGAGUGUACAUUUAGAAGACACGCUACAUUUUGACCUAUGGAUGCUUCAUUGGUAUUGUGGUACUCGUCUGGUUGAUCGACUGUUGAUGUUCGAAUUUUGCUAUGUGGCACGGAAGAAUUAUGAAAGUAUUUCUCGUAGAAAGAUUAUGUAUGAAGGAUGUAUCAGUCACUUGAGUGGUGGAGAUGGGAUCAUAUAUGGUGAUUCUUUUGUAUUUUGGUAGUUUGGAGACUGGAGUCUCAGAGGCAGAUUGUUCCUUGGUUGCAGACUGUGAAGGUAUGGCCAAAGUCAGAUAUCUAAUAGUAGGUGUUAUGGUUAGGCCAUUGAGGACUUCUGGAGGGUUAUUUAUCUAUCUAUGGAUGGCCGAAUCAAUUUGGGGGCCCAUUGGUAGGCCAAUGAGGAUGUGUAUUCUACACCGGGUCGGAUUUGUUGACUCAGCACGGUUAGUGUUGAGGGGUGAAUAAUUCGAUUAGAUUUGAGCUUGUUCAAGUUCUGAUAUGUUCUAUGUGUUACUCAUCUAUGCUACGAGGGAUGGUGAUUCAUUGAUUAUAUGCACACAUGGUGCAGUUCAGUUUGGGCCUUAUAGCGGAAUUUGAGCGAGAUAGGUAUUAGGGUGUUGAAUGAUUGAUUGCGCAUUGGUUAUGUUCUUUAUGGACUGUGGUAUAUAGUGUUAUUCGCCUCUUCAUGGUUAUAGCCAAGCACUUUGUGUACUUGAUGUCAAAUUGCAUGUAGUUAUUGAUUUUGAGGAUUGUGGAUUGAGGUAUUUUCAUAUGGACCGAUGUUUGGAUGGGUCACGCAUUGCAGCGGGGCUAUGUUGGGAUAUGAUCCUUUGUGUUAGAUUCAUGUGUCUUAGUCCUACUAUGGGUGAUGGGGUUCAUAGCAUUGAGUUGUGGUGGUACUUGUUGAGCUUGCGGGAUGGUUCUCUCAUUUGAGUCAUUUUCCAUGAUUGAAUACAUUUGAAAUGUUUCUUAUUGGUGCACGGAUUACACGGUUUAUGGCUUUAGGUUGUAUUGGUAUGGCAUGUCAAUAGAAUGGUUGUGUUGGAUGAGAUGAGGUCAUUGGACCUAGAAUGGGUAGUAUCAGAUUUGAUUACAGUAUGUAUGGAGAAAUAAUUUUAGAAGUCAGCUUAGAAUUUGGCUUUGGGUUCUUCCACGACUUGUUAAUAUGAUAGGUGGUUAUGAGUUUCUAUAUGUUUCUUUCAUCAUUGGCAGUGUACGAAGGUUCAGAACAAGAUUUUAAUUGAUAUGAGGUUUGUUAUCGGUGUCGGGUUUAUUUUGAACAACUAUUGUGAUUGGGAAUUAGUGCUAUGAGUAUGCGAGUUGUAUGGUAUACAUGUGAUUACAUCUUGGGUUAUGGUUAUGGCUUGAUACGGUUUGGUCAGACUUAUAUAGUGUGUAAAUGCGAGAUUCGAGUCUUGCAAGGAAUUUCAGGUGUUGGGAAUUGGGUUCUAAGGCUUAUGGUCUAAUGUUAAAGUAAUGAUCUUCAGUUAGGUUGUGUUGUCAGGCUUAUAUGGAUUGGGGUGGUGUGGGAUCACCCCCGGGAAUGUGCAUGGUAAGGUUACAUGGCAAUUUGAUGGCUUUGGAACGACUCUUGGCACGUUCGAGGACGAACAUAUGUUUAAGUGGGGGAGAAUGUAACGAUCCAGUCGGUAGUUUUGGGCAUUUGCAUUCCAUUCAGCUAUUUGAAGACUUGAGCAGCAUCGUAUGAUGUAUUAUGACUUGUUUGAAUCGUCGGUUUUGAUUUUCAGGUUAUUCGGAAGAAUGAUUCUCAACUAAGAAGCUUUAAGUUGGAAGAGUUGGCCAAGUUUGAAUUUUGAGUAUUUAACCCCGGAUCGGAGUUUUGAUGGUUCUGUUAGGUUCGGAUGGUGAUUUUUUACUCGGGCAUAUAUCCGGAUUCGCAUUUGGAUAUUUCUAGAAGGUUUCGACACUAAUUGGCGAAAGUUGGAAAUUUGAAGGUUUGGAAUGUUCAUAAGUUUGACUUGGAGUUGACUUUGAUGAUAUCAGGUACGGAUUGUGGUUUCAAAAAUUAAAAUAGCUUCGUUAUGUCAUUUGGGACUUGUGUGCAAAAUUUGAGUUCAUUCCGAGUUGAUUUGAUAAGGUUCGGCACGAGUUUUGGAAGUUGAAAGAUUCAAAGUUCAUUAAGUUCGAUUUGAGGUGCGAUUCAUAGUUUUGAUAAUGUUAAGCGUGAUUUGACGCCUCGAGUAAGCCCGUGUUAUGUUAUGGGACUUGUUGGUAUGUUCGGACGAGGUCCCGAGGGGCUCGGAUGAGUUUCUGAUAUGUUUGGAUUGUGUUGCGCUCGUUUUUGAUGUUUCGACGUCGUUUCUUCAGCAUAAAUGGUACCACAUUAAGCAAAUGAGCUCCAAUAUCUGUUUUGAUUGAAGCAUUAGAUUCGUAUCGUAAUUUUGGAAUCAUAGAAACUGGAAUCAUCAACUUCGACAUCAUAAGAGAAAUUUAUGGUCAUUUUACUAAGAAUUGGGUUGCUAGAUUUUUCAAAUUAAUUACAAAUUUGCCACUGAAUUCGUAUUUAAAAAUUUGCAUUAUUUCCAAAUAUUGAAACCAAUAUAUCUCCUCCAAUAUAAGGUCAAAUGGAGUAAUUCAAGAGCCUAACUUGACUAGAAUUUCUUAAGGAAUCCAUUUGAGGCAUUAAAAGGAAGUUUCGGGAUUAUUUGUCAUAAGAAACGAGGCAGAACAGUAUUAAAUCGAGGGUUUGGUUCUUCAUAUUUUGAGAUUUGGGGCUCGUAUUGAGGUGAUUCUUGAAGUAAUUUUCAUCACACAGAUUGGGGUAAAUGUUCUAUACUCGGUUUUGAUUAUAUUUUGCGAAUCUAUCUUCAUUUUGGUAAUUGGUUGAUGAAUUUUAAAGAGGAAAUUGGGUUUUUUUUUGUCUAAAAUUUCAUAGAUCGAAUUUUUGAGUUUUGAAUACCGAUUUGGAGUCGGAAUUGAAUGAAACUAGUAUGGUUGGACUCGUAAUUGAAUGAGUUAUCGAAUUUUAUAAGUUUUGUCUAGUUCUGAGAUGUGGACCCGGGUUUGACUUUUUGGCCGAUUUUGGGCUUUUGAGUAAAGAUUCGACCUUUAUCAAUUGGAAUUGUUUUCCUAGGCAUUAUUUGAUAUUCUUGAGUUGCUUUUGGCUAGUUUCGAACCGUUCGGAGAUCGGUACACGCGGGAUGGUAUUUUGGGAGUAUCGUUUGGCUUGCUCAAUAUUGGAUUCGGCU